AGCAGCCGCGGUAAUUCCAGCUCCAAUAGCGUAUAUUAAAGUUGUUGCAGUUAAAAAGCUCGUAGUUGAAUUUCGGGGUCAGUAGGUUGGUCAUGCCACUGGUAUGUACUGGUCUCACUGAUUCCUCCUUCCUGAUGAGCCGUAAUGCCAUUAAUUUGGUGUUGCGAGGAAUCUGGACUGUUACUUUGAAAAAAUUAGAGUGUUUAAAGCAGGCUAACGCUUGAAUACAUUAGCAUGGAAUAAUGAAAUAGGACGUUUGAUCCUAUUUCGUUGGUUUCUAGGAUCGACGUAAUGAUUAAUAGGGAUAGUUGGGGGCAUUAGUAUUCAAUUGUCAGAGGUGAAAUUCUUGGAUUUAUUGAAGACUAACUACUGCGAAAGCAUUUGCCAAGGAUGUUUUCAUUAAUCAAGAACGAAAGUUAGGGGAUCGAAGACGAUCAGAUACCGUCGUAGUCUUAACCAUAAACUAUGCCGACUAGGGAUCGGAUGAUGUUAAUUUUUAAUGACUCAUUC
rnacentral:rRNA from 1 species